UACGAAGGGGGGCUAGCGUUGCUCGGAAUUACUGGGCGUAAAGCGUGCGCAGGCGGUGAUGUAAGACAGGUGUGAAAUCCCCGGGCUUAACCUGGGAACUGCAUUUGUGACUGCAUCGCUGGAGUGCGGCAGAGGGGGAUGGAAUUCCGCGUGUAGCAGUGAAAUGCGUAGAUAUGCGGAGGAACACCGAUGGCGAAGGCAAUCCCCUGGGCCUGCACUGACGCUCAUGCACGAAAGCGUGGGGAGCAAACAGG
rnacentral:rRNA from 1 species